AUUGAACGCUGGCGGCAUGCCUUACACAUGCAAGUCGAACGGUAACGCGGGGCAACCUGGCGACGAGUGGCGAACGGGUGAGUAAUGUAUCGGAACGUGCCCAGUUGUGGGGGAUAACUGCUCGAAAGAGCAGCUAAUACCGCAUACGACCUGAGGGUGAAAGCGGGGGAUCGCAAGACCUCGCGCAAUUGGAGCGGCCGAUAUCAGAUUAGGUAGUUGGUGGGGCAAAGGCUCACCAAGCCGACGAUCUGUAGCUGGUCUGAGAGGACGACCAGCCACACUGGGACUGAGACACGGCCCAGACUCCUACGGGAGUCAGCAGUGGGGAAUUUUGGACAAUGGACGCAAGUCUGAUCCAGCCAUGCCGCGUGCGGGAAGAAGGCCUUCGGGUUGUAAACCGCUUUUGUCAGGGAAGAAAAGGCUCCUUCUAAUAUAGGGGGCUCAUGACGGUACCUGAAGAAUAAGCACCGGCUAACUACGUGCCAGCCGCCGCCGUAAUAC
rnacentral:rRNA from 1 species